GGCGCUGACGAGUGGCGAACGGGUGAGUAAUGCAUCGGAACGUGCCCAGUCGUGGGGGAUAACGCAGCGAAAGCUGCGCUAAUACCGCAUACGAUCUGUGGAUGAAAGCGGGGGACCUUCGGGCCUCGCGCGAUUGGAGCGGCCGAUGUCAGAUUAGGUAGUUGGUGGGGUAAAGGCUCACCAAGCCGACGAUCUGUAGCUGGUCUGAGAGGACGACCAGCCACACUGGGACUGAGACACGGCCCAGACUCCUACGGGAGGCAGCAGUGGGGAAUUUUGGACAAUGGGGGCAACCCUGAUCCAGCAAUGCCGCGUGCAGGAAGAAGGCCUUCGGGUUGUAAACUGCUUUUGUACGGAACGAAAAGGCUCUGGUUAAUACCUGGGGCACAUGACGGUACCGUAAGAAUAAGCACCGGCUAACUACGUGCCAGCAGCCGCGGUAAUACGUAGGGUGCAAGCGUUAAUCGGAAUUACUGGGCGUAAAGCGUGCGAGGCGGUGCUGUAAGACAGGCGUGAAAUCCCCGGGCUUAACCUGGGAAUGGCGCUUGUGACUGCAUUGGCUGGAGUGUGGCAGAGGGGGAUGGAAU
rnacentral:rRNA from 1 species